AUCCUGGUCGGACAUCAGGAGGUUAGUGCAAUGGCAUAAGCCAGCUUGACUGCGAGCGUGACGGCGCGAGCAGGUGCGAAAGCAGGUCAUAGUGAUCCGGUGGUUCUGAAUGGAAGGGCCAUCGCUCAACGGAUAAAAGGUACUCCGGGGAUAACAGGCUGAUACCGCCCAAGAGUUCAUAUCGACGGCGGUGUUUGGCACCUCGAUGUCGGCUCAUCACAUCCUGGGGCUGAAGUAGGUCCCAAGGGUAUGGCUGUUCGCCAUUUAAAGUGGUACGCGAGCUGGGUUUAGAACGUCGUGAGACAGUUCGGUCCCUAUCUGCCGUGGGCGCUGGAGAACUGAGGGGGGCUGCUCCUAGUACGAGAGGACCGGAGUGGACGCAUCACUGGUGUUCGGGUUGUCAUGCCAAUGGCACUGCCCGGUAGCUAAAUGCGGAAGAGAUAAGUGCUGAAAGCAUCUAAGCACGAAACUUGCCCCGAG
rnacentral:rRNA from 1 species